rnacentral:rRNA from 1 species
AUUGAACGCUGGCGGCAGGCCUAACACAUGCAAGUCGAACGAGUGGCGGACGGGUGAGUAAUGUCUGGGAAACUGCCCGAUGGAGGGGGAUAACUACUGGAAACGGUAGCUAAUACCGCAUACCAUCGGAUGUGCCCAGAUGGGAUUAGCUAGUAGGUGGGGUAACGGCUCACCUAGGCGACGAUCCCUAGCUGGUCUGAGAGGCUGACCGGCCACACGGGAACGGAGACACGGUCCAGUAGCCUACGCGAGGCAGCAGUGGGGAAUAUUGCACAAUGGGCGCAAGCCUGAUGCAGACAUGCCGCGUGGAUGAAGAAGGCCUUCGGAUUGUAAAGUACUUUCAGCGAGGAGGCGUUGCUCGCAGAAGCAGCAACGGCUAACUCCGUGCAAGCAGCCGCGGUAAUAC